rnacentral:misc_RNA from 1 species
GUGUUGUAUUGUAUUGCGUUGUGUUUAGACCAAAGUUAAUCAGGAGAUAAUAUGUUGGGGAGUGUGCUGUUGGCGGGAAGGCCAUCUUCCCGCCAACAACUCUCCACACUGGAUACAGUUCACACAAGAUUGGUGGGGUGCGUGCAGUCUCCUGCACUCACCCCGAAUCACUGAUGAUCCUUCCGCAGGUUCACCUACGGAAA